rnacentral:tRNA from 1 species
GCCCCCGUCGUCUAGCGGUUAGGACAUCGGGCUUUCAUCCCGAAAAUCACCGGUUCGAAUCCGGUCGGGGGUA